UACGGAGGGUGCAAGCAUUGAUCGGAAUUACUGGGCGUAAAGGGCGCGUAGGCGGCCUUGUAAGUCGGGCGUGAAAUUCCGGGGCUCAACCCCGGAGCUGCGUUCGAAACUACAAAGCUAGAGUACAGUUAGGGUAAACGGAAUUCCACGUGUAGCGGUGAAAUGCGUAGAUAUGUGGAAGAACACCGGUGGUGAAGACGGUUUACUGGGCUGAGACUGACGCUGAGGCGCGAAAGCAUGGGGAGCAAACAGG
rnacentral:rRNA from 1 species